rnacentral:rRNA from 1 species
UACGUAGGGUGCAAGCGUUGUCCGGAAUUAUUGGGCGUAAAGAGCUCGUAGGCGGUCUGUCGCGUCGGCUGUGAAAACCUGGGGCUUAACUCCGGGCCUGCAGCCGAUACGGGCAGACUAGAGUACGGCAGGGGAGACUGGAAUUCCUGGUGUAGCGGUGAAAUGCGCAGAUAUCAGGAGGAACACCGGUGGCGAAGGCGGGUCUCUGGGCCGAAACUGACGCUGAGGAGCGAAAGCGUGGGGAGCAAACAGG